UCCCCUCCCCUGCAGGCAGGGCUGUCCCAGUCCUACCAGGCAGGCUGUGCUCCAGAUGUCCGCAGGGGUGCCGUAGUCCAACCCAAGGAGCACUUCCAGGGCCCGGUACGGCUGCGUCUGUAUCUCCUUGGAAAAAGGCUUGUACUAAAACAGAAACAAACUCCUUAAACCAGUCACAGCAACACUGGGGACACAAGCUUCUUGUGCAGUGACAGGACAUUGGGGACACAAAUGAAUGUGUGUUCUCAGCUCUGCACAGGGCACAGCCAGCACAUUCCUGGCCCCACUGACACCAGUGGGAAUCUGCCUCCCACCAUUUCACACUGAACAUAAUUAUACAUUUCUAAUUGUAGGGACUAACUGCAAGCUGGAGAAACAUCCAAAACUGACAGUGGCUCAGGAAGACUGUGCACAGCUUGGAGCUGAGAGUGGCAAACACAACACCCCCCAAUAUCAGCAUCUCUGAAAUAGCUGUUCAGCUGUAAAAGGGACAGACAGACACACACACACAGUGUGGGAUGGAAAGAAGCACACAGCAUCCCACAUUGUCAUGGGAUUGAGACUUGGAGCAGACUCACUGUCCAGCAUGCGCUUCCUAGAUCUGCAAUUUUCACCUCUAUGCUCAUUAAAUCAGAUUCUUCCAACUGAUUGCCAAGAUCACCUCCUAGAUGGAAAGGACAAAGAGAAAUCAGGUCUUUCUGAACCAGCAAGUACACACCACUUACCACAGGAGAGGGUUCCUCUAGCACCAAGGUUAAAUUACUGUGGGCCCAGAGGAGAGCACCAGUCAGAACCAAAACAUCUGUAAUUCCUCCUCAGCCUUCAGCAACCCUGGCUGUCACAGGCCUUGGAUACAGCCUGCUUGGCAAGCAAUGUGGAGGUUACGCUUCCAUAUGAUCCCAGAAAAAGCAGCUGAAAACAUCAGACACGUGGAAUUGUCCUGUACCUAAAGCCUUGAGAGUGAACUCUGAGGUCGUGGUGGGGCUGUCAACAGAUAUCUGUGACCUGUAGGUGUCCUUCACACAAAUCCACCACACUUCUGUAGGCGCCUUGAGCCCAGCCUGGUGUUUGUAUUAAGCAGAGAGAGACCUUUCAGCAGCAUCAGCUGCCUAUAAUGUUUUAUACUGGCUGUCAUGUUUUGU